ACGGAAGGCAGCAGUGGGGAAUCUUGGGCAAUGGGGGCAACCCUGACCCAGCAACGCCGCGUGAAGGAAGAAGGCUUUCGGGUUGUAAACUUCUUUUACCAGGGACGAAGAAAGUGACGGUACCUGGAGAAUAAGCCACGGCUAACUACGUGCCAGCAGCCGCGGUAAUACGUAGGUGGUAAGCGUUGUCCGGAUUUACUGGGUGUAAAGGGCGCGUAGGCGGGAUAGCAAGUCAGGAGUGAAAUCCAUGGGCUUAACCCAUGAACUGCUUUUGAAACUGUUAUUCUUGAGUAUCGGAGAGGCAGGCGGAAUUCCUAGUGUAGCGGUGAAAUGCGUAGAUAUUAGGAGGAACACCAGUGGCGAAGGCGGCCUGCUGGACGACAACUGACGCUGAGGCGCGAAAGCGUGGGGAGCAAACAGGAUUAGAUACCCUGGUA
rnacentral:rRNA from 1 species